GAUGAACGCUAGCGGGAGGCCUAACACAUGCAAGCCGAGCGGUAUUGUUUCUACGGAAAUGAGAGAGCGGCGUACGGGUGCGUAACACGUGUGCAACCUGCCUUUAUCUGGGGGAUAGCCUUUCGAAAGGAAGAUUAAUACUCCAUAAUAUAUUGAACGGCAUCGUUUAAUAUUGAAAGCUCCGGCGGAUAGAGAUGGGCACGCGCAACAUUAGCUAGUUGGUGGGGUAACGGCUCACCAAGGCGAUGAUCUUUAGGGGGCCUGAGAGGGUGAUCCCCCACACUGGUACUGAGACACGGACCAGACUCCUACGGGAGGCAGCAGUGAGGAAUAUUGGUCAAUGGGUGCAAGCCUGAACCAGCCAUCCCGCGUGAAGGACGACUGCUCUAUGGGUUGUAAACUUCUUUUAUAUAGGGAUAAACCUACCCUCGUGAGGGUAGCUGAAGGUACUAUACGAAUAAGCACCGGCUAACUCCGUGCCAGCCGCCGCCGUAA
rnacentral:rRNA from 1 species